rnacentral:rRNA from 1 species
CCUACGGGAGGCAGCAGUGGGGAAUAUUGGACAAUGGGCGAAAGCCUGAUCCAGCCAUGCGCGUGUGUGAAGAAGGCCUUCGGGUUGUAAAGCACUUUCAGUGGGGAAGAAAGCCUUGGGGCUAAUACCCUCGAGGAAGGACAUCACCCACAGAAGAAGCACCGGCUAACUCCGUGCCAGCAGCCGCGGUAAUACGGAGGGUGCGAGCGUUAAUCGGAAUUACUGGGCGUAAAGCGCGCGUAGGCGGUCUGAUAAGCCGGUUGUGAAAGCCCCGGGCUCAACCUGGGAACGGCAUCCGGAACUGUCAGGCUAGAGUGCAGGAGAGGAAGGUAGAAUUCCCGGUGUAGCGGUGAAAUGCGUAGAGAUCGGGAGGAAUACCAGUGGCGAAGGCGGCCUUCUGGACUGACACUGACGCUGAGGUGCGAAAGCGUGGGUAGCAAACAGGAUUAGAUACCCGAGUAGUC